UACGGAGGGUGCGAGCGUUUGUCCGGAAUCACUGGGCGUAAAGGGCGCGUAGGCGGCCGAGCAAGGUCGCGGUGAAAGCCCGGGGCUCAACCCCGGGUCGGCCGUGGCAACUACUCGGCCUCGAGCACUGUAGGGGCGGGUGGAAUUCCGGGUGUAGCGGUGGAAUGCGUAGAGAUCCGGAAGAACACCGGUGGCGAAGGCGACUCACUGGACACGUAUUGACGCUGAGGUGCGAAAGCGUGGGGAGCAAACAGG
rnacentral:rRNA from 1 species